rnacentral:rRNA from 1 species
UACGGAGGGUGCGAACGUUGCUCGGAAUCAUUGGGCGUAAAGCGCACGUAGGCGGCGAAGAAAGUUGGGUGUGAAAGCCCUGGGCUCAACCCAGGAAGUGCAUUCAAAACUACUUUGCUUGAAUCUCGGAGGGGGUCAGAGAAUUCCCGGUGUAGAGGUGAAAUUCGUAGAUAUCGGGGGGAAUACCAGUGGCGAAGGCGCUGACCUGGACGAAGAUUGACGCUGAGGUGCGAAAGCGUGGGGAGCAAACAGG